rnacentral:rRNA from 1 species
GACAGAGGGUGCAAACGUUGUUCGGAAUUACUGGGCGUAAAGCGCGUGUAGGCGGUUCGGAAAGUCGGGUGUGAAAGCCCUGGGCUCAACCCAGGAAGUGCACUCGAAACUCCCGAGCUAGAGUCCUGGAGAGGAAGGCGGAAUUCUCGGUGUAGAGGUGAAAUUCGUAGAUAUCGAGAGGAACAUCGGUGGCGAAGGCGGCCUUCUGGACAGCGACUGACGCUGAGACGCGAAAGCGUGGGGAGCAAACGGG